AAGAUUAGAAUGCCUAACUUUAAUGACUAUGUGUGAUUGAUAUGUUACACGAGGGAAAUAUAAAUAGCUUUUCCCGACGUUUAAAGUAUAGAGAUUAGAUUUAGAAAGACUAGUGAGCCCCAAUAAAGUAGUGACAUAAGAAGUAUAUGACUUGUAAGAAAUUAGAAAGUUUAUAUAACUUAAGACGGUUGAUCAUAUGUAAUUAAUUUACUGGCCUUGUGCUAUAUUUUAAGUAUGAAAUGUUUGAAUGGGCUUUGGACCACGUUUAUGAAUAAAAUGUUUAAGUUAUGAUCCAAGUGAUACCAGAGACUACCUAUAUAGGAGUUGGAUAAUCUGGUUGGGUUCCCGGAGGGAAUUCCACAUGACGACAAGAUGAGUCAAGGAGUCGUGUCCUAGCCCUUGAUAAGGAAUUUGACUGACUAGGUAGACCUCUUGAGCUUAACUCACCUCAGGUUGUCUACAUAAAAAUGAACCUAGAUAAUUAUUGUGUGAUACAUAUUAUUAUAUGCUAUGUAAUGAUAAAUGAAUAUGAUAAUGCUUAUAAGAUGAUCAAUUGACAACCAGGUUUCCCAUAUGACUACUGACACCCUAGGUGUAGUAGGAACUCACUGAGGCUUAGAGUCUCAACCCACUCCCUUUUAUUUUUUUCAGAUAAACAGGAUUAUCAAUACAGGGGUAAGAAGGAAGCUGAUGAUCGAGGCUUAGCUUGGAUUAUCUUGAGAUAUUAACAUUAGUUUUUUUCCUUGUUUUGUAUUACUCUGUUUAGAUUCCUUUCCGCUGUGACGUAUCAGUUUACUACGUUGUACUUAUACGUUGUAAAUGAAACAUGUUAUUAUGUAAUUUUAAUGUAUCUAGAUUUC
rnacentral:lncRNA from 1 species